AACGAACGCUGGCGGCAGGCCUAACACAUGCAAGUCGAACGCUCCGCAAGGGGAGUGGCAGACGGGUGAGUAACACGUGGGAAUCUUCCUGUUGGUGCGGAAUAGCUCAGGGAAACUUGGGGUAAUACCGCAUAAGCCCGAGAGGGGAAAGAUUUAUCGCCGACAGAUGAGCCCGCGUCUGAUUAGCUAGUUGGUGAGGUAACGGCUCACCAAGGCGACGAUCAGUAGCUGGUCUGAGAGGAUGACCAGCCACACUGGGACUGAGACACGGCCCAGACUCCUACGGGAGGCAGCAGUGGGGAAUAUUGGACAAUGGGCGCAAGCCUGAUCCAGCCAUGCCGCGUGAGUGACGAAGGUCUUCGGAUUGUAAAGCUCUUUUGGCGGGGACGAUAAUGACGGUACCCGCAGAAUAAGCCCCGGCUAACUUCGUGCCAGCAGCCGCAGUAACAC
rnacentral:rRNA from 1 species